rnacentral:rRNA from 1 species
GCCCAGACUCCUACGGGAGGCAGCAGUGGGGAAUAUUGGGCAAUGGGCGAAAGCCUGACCCAGCAACGCCGCGUGAAGGAAGAAGGCUUUCGGGUUGUAAACUUCUUUUGACAGGGAAGAGCAGAAGACGGUACCUGUCGAAUAAGCCACGGCUAACUACGUGCCAGCAGCCGCGGUAAUACGUAGGUGGCAAGCGUUGUCCGGAUUUACUGGGUGUAAAGGGAGCGUAGACGGCGACGCAAGUCUGGAGUGAAAGCCCGGGGCCCAACCCCGGGACUGCUCUGGAAACUGCGUCGCUGGAGUACGGGAGGGGCAGGCGGAAUUCCUGGUGUAGCGGUGAAAUGCGUAGAUAUCAGGAGGAACACCGGCGGCGAAGGCGGCCUGCUGGACCGUGACUGACGUUGAGGCUCGAGAGCGUGGGGAGCAAACAGGAUUAGAUACCCGGGUAC